AAGUGUGGCAGCUCUUUUAGAAUUCGUCUGGCAGGUUUUCUGGUCCUCACUGGAAGACUCCC
ensembl:snRNA U7 U7 small nuclear RNA